AAAGAAGUUACAUGUCAGGAGCUGCUGUAUGAGAGGUUCUGUCUGUCUUGUUUUCAGUCCUCAUUACCUGGAAAAAACAAAAAAAAAAAAGCAAAAAAAAACCCAAAACCCAAGAAAUGGAUGGCAGCCACUGGGAUCAGACAGGCACAACCCUGAUGUAUUUCCAGUGGGGAUCUUCUGGUGCUGCAUACGCUGACAGAAAGGAAGUGCAUUAAGGAGUGUAAAGCACGCAGCUUCUGUAGCCAUGAGAACCAUCUGGUGGGGUACCGGUGAGUUUCAGGGCUCUCUAUGCCAUCCAGGCAGUUGGCAGUGUCUUCUCUGGCAACAGGAAAAUCUCCAGCCCCAAGUGGAUCCCAGCUCCUGUGUGGCUGCAUCAGUCACGUACUGUGCAGGAGCUGAGGGAUCUUCCAGGCAAGAGGGGAGGUGGAACAGGGACAGGUCAUCAUGGGAGCAUGGCUGCAGUGACCCCGAGCAUCACAGCUUCCACAGGAACUCAGCUUUUGGUCGUUCGGGGGCUGCAGCAGCCAGCUGUGCCUGUGGGCUACAGAGAGACGGUCUGGAUAGAGCUUCCCAAGUAAUGCAUUUGGAUGUGUUUUGUGGUAACAAAGCCAACAGAGUGAGUUUUGGUAGGCUAUGGGAAGAAGGCAGUGGUGGUGAUGGUGGUUGUUUGACUUCUUCGUAGCUCCAAGACAGCUACUACACAGCAUCACUUACAGCUGUGGGGAAUUCUUCUGCCAUCUGAUCAGAGAAUGCUGAAUUUGACAAAUGGAAACUGUUCCUAUGAAUCCAUUGUCAUUCAGUUCUAGUUCUGAAGUUGUCAGAAUAUCUGAUUCUGCAUUCUCCAAAUUGAAUCCAGUUUUUUUGUCUUUGAGUAAUGAUUGGAUUGACUUCAACCAGAGGUGUAGUUGGAGCUGUACUUUAAUACCAGGAAAAAAACAAAACCUAUACAGAAAUUAUAAUAUUGGCAAAGCACUUGUCAUUUUUAUGAUUCUAACGUGUGAAAAACACAACGUGCCUCAUUCAGGAGAGGAUUGUACCACAAACUGUGUACGUGCGUUCAGUCAAACAAACAACACCAUCACCAGACCCAGCCUGGAACACCUCCUUCACCUUCCCUAGCAGAAUCCCUAGCAGAAUUUCCCAAAGAGAUGCAGAGAACUUAAAACCAACCGAUGGUUUUUAAUAACCAGCCAUCUUCUGAAAGGCAGUUUCUGCUCGGUUCGGCUGAGGCUGCGUACGCCAUCAUGACAAAUGGGACCUGCUGAGACCUGACGGAACGGCUCUGCGAAGCAGCACGAGUGAUGGAGAGCUGCAGCCCGUGGCACGGCUGCUUCCUGCUUUCCUUUAGCAGCGCCGACCUUGGUAGCCUUUCGGGCUGUGUUUCCUGUAAUGUGUUGGAUUUGCACUAUCGCUUCCAUACGCUUUGUCAAGCCCUUGAAGUUGGCAGCACAAUUACAACUGCUGUUGUCCCCUGUAGGAGGUGGAAAAUAGUCCUCAACUUCGUGUUACGUAUACAUGUUAUAAAUAGAGUAACGUGUGGCAUAUUGCUUAGUAAUAACUGAAGGGGAACCAGAUAGUUUCUUCUCUUCUCUUGGCAUUGCCCAAACUUUUUUCUAAACUAAGGAUCUGAGAAAACAGCAGAAUUUCCUUUCUAAAGGAAAGGAGAGUAACACGAACCAAGAAAAAAACUGCAAACCAAAUUAAGAACACGCAUUUAAGAGCUUCCUUAUGCUUAAAAGUGAGAUAGUGAAAUCUGUUGCAGUUAUUUUUAUCCUGAGAAGUCACCCUGCCCUGCAGAACGCCGAGCGGAGCUGCGGACGC
rnacentral:lncRNA from 7 species